GACGAACGCUGGCGGCGUGCUUAACACAUGCAAGUCGAACGGAAAGGCCCUGCUUUUGUGCGGUGCUCGAGUGGCGAACGGGUGAGUAACACGUGAGUAACCUGCUCUUGACUUUCGGAUAACUUCAGGAAACUGGGGCUAAUACCGGAUAGGAGCUCCUGCUGCAUUGAGGGGGUUGGAAAGUUUCGGCGGGUGGGGAUGGACUCGCGGCUUAUCAGCUUGUUGGUGGGGGAGUGGCUUACCCAGGGUUUGACGGAUAGGCGACAUGGGAGGGUGGCCGGGGACAAGGGGCCUGAGAUACGGACCAGACGGGUACGGGGGGCAGUGGGGGGAAACAUUGCACAAUGGGAGCAAGCCUGUGGAGGCGACGCCGCGGGCGGGAUGACGGCCUUCGGGUUGUAAACCGCUUUAGGCUGUGACGAAGCGUGAGUGACGGUACUGGAUAAAUAAGCACCGGCUAACUACGUG
rnacentral:rRNA from 1 species